UGCUGCGGUUGCUGUACCCCAUGGAUGGGAUGGAUCUGAUAUUUUCACGCUUAAUCACUAACUGUCCCUCUCGCCUGCUGCCGGUGAUUUUUUGUUCUCUCCAAAAAAAGAUCUAUGGCCAAUGCUCAACGGCCAUUCUGUGGUAAUCCGUGAAUAGUUCUAGAGAACCCGCGCGAAUCGCCUAUCUUACGAAUUUGUACAUUGGUUUAUUGUAUGCAGUUUACGGGAAUUGACAUCGAUGUUGACGCUGCCUUCCACCUGAGAUUGGUUGUAUAACUAUGUUUUCACUUUAUUUUGGGAAAUUUCACGACUUAUGACAGAAGAAUUGCACUUUGCUGGAUGAAAUUAUCCGCUUUUGCCUGUGUUUUAUUAACACGGCAUCACUCACACUUGCCGUUGAUCGAUUACGAUUGUUUCGAUUAUUUCGAUUGUGGAAUAAUAACGAUACGUUAUAAGGACGCGACACCAGCGAGCCGAGCCGAUUGAUUCGGAUUGAGGAUUGGAAAUGAAAAUAUUGUACAAGAAUCUAUAUGUGCGAGGAGGUAUAGACGUGUGUAUAUUUCCUACACUUCACUUUACUGGCGCAGAAAAUCGCAUAUACACCGAGAAUGUAUAAUUAUAAAUAAAUGUUCU